CGGGCAGUAGCGCAGUCUGGUAGCGUACCUGAAUGGGGUUCAGGCGGUCGGAGGUUCAAAUCCUCUCUGCCCGA
rnacentral:tRNA from 1 species